GUGGGGAAUAUUGGACAAUGGGCGAAAGCCUGAUCCAGCCAUGCCGCGUGUGUGAAGAAGGCCUUUUGGUUGUAAAGCACUUUAAGCGAGGAGGAGGCUACCGAGAUUAAUACUCUUGGAUAGUGGACGUUACUCGCAGAAUAAGCACCGGCUAACUCUGUGCCAGAAGCCGCGGUAAUACAGAGGGUGCGAGCGUUAAUCGGAUUUACUGGGCGUAAAGCGUGCGUAGGCGGCUUUUUAAGUCGGAUGUGAAAUCCCUGAGCUUAACUUAGGAAUUGCAUUCGAUACUGGGAAGCUAGAGUAUGGGAGAGGAUGGUAGAAUUCCAGGUGUAGCGGUGAAAUGCGUAGAGAUCUGGAGGAAUACCGAUGGCGAAGGCAGCCAUCUGGCCUAAUACUGACGCUGAGGUACGAAAGCAUGGGGAGCAAACAGGAUUAGAUACCCUAGUAGUCC
rnacentral:rRNA from 1 species